CCGGGAGAUGCCCGCACGUCUCCCCGGGCCCGCCUGAUGCCCAAGAGACGACCCCCGGCCCGCCCCGCCUCUCGCUGAGGCAGUACCCCGGCCGAGCCGCCAGAUGUCAGCACGAGGCUUUGUGCCUCGCUCCGCUCUCAGUGACUGCUCCAGUCGCCAAAUAGCACGAAGCUUUCCCGUACAAUCCCAGGCCCUGCUUCAGCCCAUCCGCCUCUCCCGCUCAGAAGACUUUUUUGGAAGUAUAUGAUGAGCAACCAUUGAGAUUGGAUGGAAAGCAUCAGCAGCACCAGGAAACUCUUGGCAUAUGGAUAGUCUGAAUUGCUUCUGCAUGGGAUCCAGUGUGGGGAAUGCUCUGAAUC
rnacentral:lncRNA from 1 species